AGCAGCCGCGGUAAUUCCAGCUCCAAUAGCGUAUAUUAAAGUUGUUGCAGUUAAAAAGCUCGUAGUUGAAUUUCGGGGUUAGUAGGUUGGUCGUGCCACCGGUAUGUACUGGCUCUACUGAUCCCUCCUUCUUGUAGAACCGUAAUGCCAUUAACUUGGUGUUGCGGGGAAACAGGACUGUUACUUUGAAAAAAUUAGAGUGUUUAAAGCAGGCUAACGCUUGAAUACAUUAGCAUGGAAUAAUGAAAUAGGACGCUCGAUCCUAUUUUGUUGGUUUCUAGGAUUGACGUAAUGAUUAAUAGGGAUAGUUGGGGGCAUUAGUAUUCAAUUGUCAGAGGUGAAAUUCUUGGAUUUAUUGAAGACUAACUACUGCGAAAGCAUUUGCCAAGGAUGUUUUCAUUAAUCAAGAACGAAAGUUAGGGGAUCGAAGACGAUCAGAUACCGUCGUAG
rnacentral:rRNA from 1 species